UUGCAGGCUGAAACUCGCCUGCAUGAAGUCGGAAUUGCUAGUAAUCGCAGAUCAGCAUGCUGCGGUGAAUACGUUCCCGGGCCUUGUACACACCGCCCGUCACACCAUGGGAGUCGGUAACACCCGAAGCCUGUAGUCUAACCGCAAGGAGGACGCAGUCGAAGGUGGGAUUGAUGACUGGGGUGAAGUCGUAACAAGGUAUC
rnacentral:rRNA from 1 species